rnacentral:rRNA from 1 species
UGGGGAAUUGUUCGCAAUGGGCGCAAGCCUGACGACGCAACGCCGCGUGGAGGAUGAAGAUCUUCGGGUCGUAAACUCCUUUCGAUCGAGACGAAUGGCCCUUGGGCUAAUCACCAGGGGAAUGACGGUACCGAGAGAAGAAGCCCCGGCUAACUCCGUGCCAGCAGCCGCGGUAAUACGGGGGGGGCAAGCGUUGUUCGGAAUUACUGGGCGUAAAGGGCUCGUAGGCGGCCAACUAAGUCAGACGUGAAAUCCCUCGGCUUAACCGGGGAACUGCGUCUGAUACUGGAUGGCUUGAAUCCGGGAGAGGGAUGCGGAAUUCCAGGUGUAGCGGUGAAAUGCGUAGAUAUCUGGAGGAACACCGGUGGCGAAGGCGGCAUCCUGGACCGGCAUUGACGCUGAGGAGCGAAAGCCAGGGGAGCAAACGGG